AGUGCAUCAGGUGGAUGCCUUGGCGAUGAUAGGCGAUGAAGGACGUGUAAGCCUGCGAAAAGCAUCGGGGAGCUGGCAAUAAAGCUAUGAUCCGGUGAUGUCCGAAUGGGGAAACCCACUGCAUUCUGUGCAGUAUCCUAAGUUGAAUACAUAGACUUAGAGAAGCGAACCCGGAGAACUGAACCAUCUAAGUACCCGGAGGAAAAGAAAUCAACCGAGAUUCCGCAAGUAGUGGCGAGCGAACGCGGAGGAGCCUGUACGUAAUAACUGUCGAGAUAGAAGAACAAGCUGGGAAGCUUGACCAUAGUGGGUGAUAGUCCCGUAUUCGAAAUCUCAAUAGUGGUACUAAGCGUACGAAAAGUAGGGCGGGACACGUGAAAUCCUGUCUGAAUAUGGGGGGACCAUCCUCCAAGGCUAAAUACUCAUCAUCGACCGAUAGUGAACCAGUACCGUGAGGGAAAGGCGAAAAGAACCCCGGGAGGGGAGUGAAAUAGAACCUGAAACCUGAUGCAUACAAACAGUGGGAGCACCCUUGUGGUGUGACUGCGUACCUUUUGUAUAAUGGGUCAACGACUUACAUUCAGUAGCGAGCUUAACCGAAUAGGGGAGGCGUAGGGAAACCGAGUCUUAAUAGGGCGAACAGUUGCUGGGUGUAGACCCGAAACCGAGUGAUCUAUCCAUGGCCAGGUUGAAGGUGCCGUAACAGGUACUGGAGGACCGAACCCACGCAUGUUGCAAAAUGCGGGGAUGAGCUGUGGAUAGGGGUGAAAGGCUAAACAAACUCGGAGAUAGCUGGUUCUCCCCGAAAACUAUUUAGGUAGUGCCUCGAGCAAGACACUGAUGGGGGUAAAGCACUGUUAUGGCUAGGGGGUUAUUGCAACUUACCAACCCAUGGCAAACUAAGAAUACCAUCAAGUGGUUCCUCGGGAGACAGACAGCGGGUGCUAACGUCCGUUGUCAAGAGGGAAACAACCCAGACCGCCAGCUAAGGUCCCAAAUGAUAGAUUAAGUGGUAAACGAAGUGGGAAGGCCCAGACAGCCAGGAUGUUGGCUUAGAAGCAGCCAUCAUUUAAAGAAAGCGUAAUAGCUCACUGGUCGAGUCGUCCUGCGCGGAAGAUGUAACGGGGCUCAAAUCUAUAACCGAAGCUGCGGAUGCCGGUUUACCGGCAUGGUAGGGGAGCGUUCUGUAGGCCGAUGAAGGUGCAUUGUAAAGUGUGCUGGAGGUAUCAGAAGUGCGAAUGUUGACAUGAGUAGCGAUAAAGCGGGUGAAAAGCCCGCUCGCCGAAAGCCCAAGGUUUCCUACGCAACGUUCAUCGGCGUAGGGUGAGUCGGCCCCUAAGGCGAGGCAGAAAUGCGUAGUCGAUGGGAAACAGGUUAAUAUUCCUGUACUUGAUUCAAAUGCGAUGUGGGGACGGAGAAGGUUAGGUUAGCAAGCUGUUGGAAUAGCUUGUUUAAGCCGGUAGGUGGAAGACUUAGGCAAAUCCGGGUCUUCUUAACACCGAGAAGUGAUGACGAGUGUCUACGGACAUGAAGUAACCGAUACCACGCUUCCAGGAAAAGCCACUAAGCUUCAGUUUGAAUUGAACCGUACCGCAAACCGACACAGGUGGGCAGGAUGAGAAUUCUAAGGCGCUUGAGAGAACUCAGGAGAAGGAACUCGGCAAAUUGAUACCGUAACUUCGGGAGAAGGUAUGCCCUCUAAGGUUAAGGACUUGCUCCGUAAGCCCUGGAGGGUCGCAGAGAAUAGGUGGCUGCGACUGUUUAUUAAAAACACAGCACUCUGCUAACACGAAAGUGGACGUAUAGGGUGUGACGCCUGCCCGGUGCUGGAAGGUUAAUUGAAGAUGUGCAAGCAUCGGAUCGAAGCCCCAGUAAACGGCGGCCGUAACUAUAACGGUCCUAAGGUAGCGAAAUUCCUUGUCGGGUAAGUUCCGACCCGCACGAAUGGCGUAACGAUGGCCACACUGUCUCCUCCCGAGACUCAGCGAAGUUGAAGUGGUUGUGAAGAUGCAAUCUACCCGCUGCUAGACGGAAAGACCCCGUGAACCUUUACUGUAGCUUUGCAUUGGACUUUGAAGUCAC
rnacentral:rRNA from 1 species